AAACAAAGGAGGAAGAUUUUCCAAAUUUAUAUAGAUUUUUUAACAAGGGUGGCAAAGCUUGAUGAAUUGGUGGCUGUUGGAGGCAGACUACUCACUGGCUUUCAGCAAGGACUAGAGUUUCUUCGGCACCCUCCAAUUAACGACAGGUCCAA